GCCAGACUCCUACGGGAGGCAGCAGUGCGGAAUAUUGGUCCAUGGGCGAGAUCCUGCACCAGCCACGUCGCGUGAAGGAUGACGGAUCUAUGGUUUGUCCACUUCUUUUAUCUUGGAAUAAAGUGCGGAACGUGUUCCUUUUUGUAUGUCCCCUCUGAAUAAGCCUCUUCUAACUCCUUUCCCUCAGCCGCUUUCCUCCGGAGGAUGCGCUCGUUAUCCGGCUUUAUUGGGUUUAAAGGGUGCGUAGGUGGUGAAUUAAGUCAGAGGGGAAAGUUUGGGGAGCAACCAUAAAAUUGCCGUUGAAACUGGUUGACUUGAGUAUAUUGGAGGGAGGCGGAAUGCGUGGUGUAGCGGUGAAAUGCAUAGAGAGAAAGCAGAACGCCGAUGGCGAAGGCAGCUUACUAAACUAUAACUGACACUGAAGCACGAAAGCGUGGGGAGCCAACAGGAUUAGAUACCCGAGUA
rnacentral:rRNA from 1 species